CCUACGGGAGGCAGCAGUGGGGGAUAUUGCACAAUGGGGGAAACCCUGAUGCAGCGACGCCGCGUGGGUGAAGAAGUAUUUCGGUAUGUAAAGCCCUAUCAGCAGGGAAGAAAGAAGACGGUACCUGACUAAGAAGCACCGGCUAACUACGUGCCAGCAGCCGCGGUAAUACGUAGGGGGCGAGCGUUAGCCGGAUUCACUGGGUGUAAAGGGAGCGUAGACGGCCGUGCAAGCCAGGAGUGAAAGCCCGGGGCCCAACCCCGGGACUGCCCUGGGAACUGUGCGGCUGGAGUGCGGGAGGGGCAGGUGGAAUUCCUGGUGUAGCGGUGAAAUGCGUAGAUAUCAGGAGGAACACCGGCGGCGAAGGCGGCCUGCUGGACCGCGACUGACGUUGAGGCUCGAAAGCGUGGGGAGCGAACAGGAUUAGAUACCCUUGUAGUC
rnacentral:rRNA from 1 species